rnacentral:rRNA from 1 species
GAUGAACGCUGGCGGUAUGCUUAACACAUGCAAGUCGAACGGACUCUUCGGAGUUAGUGGCAGACGGGUGAGUAACGCGUGAGAAUCUGGCUUUGGGUUCGGGACAACCACUGGAAACGGUGGCUAAUACCGGAUGUGCCGAGAGGUAAAAGAGAAAUUGCCUGAAGAUGAGCUCGCGUCUGAUUAGCUAGUUGGUGAGGUAAAGGCUCACCAAGGCAGCGAUCAGUAGCUGGUCUGAGAGGAUGACCAGCCACACUGGGACUGAGACACGGCCCAGACUCCUACGGGAGGCAGCAGUGGGGAAUUUUCCGCAAUGGGCGAAAGCCUGACGGAGCAAUACCGCGUGAGGGAAGAAGGCUCUUGGGUUGUAAACCUCUUUUCUUAGGGAGGAACAAAAUGACGGUACCUAAGGAAUCAGCAUCGGCUAACUCCGUG